UAGGAGAGAGAGAGUGGAGAAACCGACCGAUUGAGCUUGCCCGACGCCGGCCUUCGUUCGCCUCCUUCGCCGCUGGCCGUUCGCCGCCAGUGCCGUCGUUGUCACCGCCGUUCGCGCGCGCAGCCGCACGUCCGCUCGCCGUCGUCCACCUCGCCUCUCCGCCACCGUCUUCACUUCCAAGCGGUUGUUCGGCCAGCUCGGGCCGCGGUUCAGCCCCCUCCGGCCACCGUUCGGGUCCCGCCUUAGUCCGGUUCGACUCCUCCACUUUCCCCCAACCCAUCCUCGCCUCAAACCGAGCUUAUCUUUUCUUUUUUCAGCCACGGACAGCAGCUGCAGAAAUGGGUAUGGCAGCGGGUGUUUGGCCCGUUUUGGCCAUCUUCCCAACCCCGAAUGCUUGGCCCGCUUCGAGGAAAGUUGUUCCCCUCGGCGUCCCCAUCGUUUUGAUCCGCUCGGCUCGCUAAUCCGAUCCUUGGUGGACGGAGCGGCUAGAUAGCUUUGGUUGACCUUGAGGAGUUGCAGAUGUGAAGUCAUAAGGAUUGGAGAACGUGUCCGACUUGUAGGUCAUAGGACAAUUCCUUUUUAAGAGCUAGUCUUUUAUAGGCUUUUGGCUGUAGGCCUUCGUUUGUAACUCCGUUGAAUUAUGAAUGUGUUAUGUUGUGGAUUUGCUUCUUGCUUUUCUA